rnacentral:lncRNA from 1 species
GAAAUUGAAAAUAAGGUAAAAGUCCCUAUUAUGAGACGAUGUCCCCAUUUAUGAUACACUACAUAAAAAUACUAUUUUAUAAAAACAAACACACCGCUAGCAUACCAAAAAUAUAAAAAAUAUUUCAAUUCACAUAUUUCAAAAGCAAUUUUCGACUUUUGCUCUUAAUUAAUUUCACACUGUUUUUAAAAAAUAUUUAUUAAAGUGCGAGGUUUGUUAUCUGUGCUCAAAGCCACGACCGAGAAUAGUAAAACGGCAACGGCUACCUAGUUUCUUAUAUUAGUUUAAUUUCAUUGUCUCUUCUUCUUUUAUGUUAAAUUGUAUAUCAAUUGAAAGCUGAUGAGUCAUAGACUUUAUUUCUAUACAUAUUUAUGCGUUUUUUUUAUUACAAUAUUUUAAAUCUGAGUGUCUCACAAUACCUACACUUAUAAACGUGAAUGCCCCGGUUUAUGAGACAUUUUACUAGGUAUACCAUGUAACACGGACAUGUGUAUUUCGGCUUGUCCCGAUUAAUUGAGACGGUGUACAUUUAUAAGAUUUUAUAUUGUUAAUAUGUUAUAUUAAUUAUAAAAAUAGUGCAAUUAUAUGUCAUAAAAUAUUGGCUGUUAUUAAAACCUCAAAUAUUUUUCUAAAAGCUAAGUAAAAAGUAAUUUAUAAUAAAAAGCUGAGAUAAUGAGGCAUAAACAAAAUCCUAAAGAGACAAAAACUCAAUCAUCAAAUUCAACCAAAAAAAAGUGUUGUGUUCCAAUGUGAAUAAUAAACUGAAGAAAAAAAAGUUAAAAGGCUUAAGUAAUUAUGAUUCGUCAAAUAUAGAAAAAGCUUUAAAAGCAAUAGAAGACACAGAGAUGUCCUUGAGAAAAGCAGCUGCUGUUCAUGGAGUACCGAUUGCUACCUUUGUUAGAUGAAAAAGUAUUAGUCCUGAGAAGGCAAAAAUUAGAACUGAGCCAGCGACAGUAUUAUCUUUAAAAGAAGAGAAUGUUAUUGUUCAGUUGUUAUUCUACAGAGCAGCAAUAGGGUCACCUGUGACGAAAACUGACUUAUUAAAGAUGACAAUCAUUCUAAUGUGAUAAACUGUGAAUAAAAUAAUUUAACUAAUGAUGGACAACUUUUUACGGUUAUAUAUGAAUCUAGUCAAAGCUCAAAAAUAUUCAUCCUACAAAUCCUAUAAACAACAAAAUUUAUCAAUUAGAAUUUAUGAAAGAAAAUUUGGAUCCUACGCCUGCAAUGAUUGACGAACAUCGUUUUAUUCAUAAGUUUUCAUCAAUAACUGUUGAUAACGAUAAAUCUCCCGAAAAACCUCUGAAAGAAAUAUUCACUUUGCCGUUGGAUUAUUUACUGAAGAAAAAAAUAAUAAAAAUUGAAAAACAGGCAAGUCAAAGUUACCAUCUGUGGGGAUCUCUGAUGAAUGGUACAAACAA